rnacentral:lncRNA from 1 species
GAUAUACCUCGACUUUCUGGGUCCAUAUCCUAGAACCCGAAGGGGGAACGCAGUCAUCUUGAUAGUCCUUGAUCACAUGUCUCGGUUUGUUUGGCUGAAGGCCUUACCCAAAGCCACAUCGGCGGCCGUAAUUCAAUUCCUGCAUGAAGAGGUCUUCGCACAGUUUGGCGUUCCUGAAAUGGUACACACAGACAACGGAAAGCAGUUUGUAUCAGCCGAGUUUACACACUUCUUUACCAAAAGAAGUAUAACUCACAUGAAAUCUGGGAACUAUGCACCACAGGCGAACGCGGCGGAACGCGUGAAGAAGUUGCCGGAGAUCCAGAGUGCGGCCAGGAGUGCGAUACAUACAGCUAUCGGCACGUCACCAUACUUCGUGCUGUUCGGGCAGCACAUGUUCACCAGCGGGCGGGACUACAAAUUAGCACGGAGACUGGGAGCCCUGAUCGACGCGCAAGUAUCACCUGUGGCCAGGCAAGACCAGCAGGAGAUCAUCCGCGAUGAGGUCCGGAAGAAUGCGCAUUAGGCCUACAAGAGAUCAAAAAAUCAGUAUGAUCGAAAAGCGAGAGAUAUCCGGUACUUACCAGGGCAGGAAGUGUAUAAGCGGAACUUCGUAUUAAGCAAUUUCAAAAACAACAUCAAUGCCAAGUUUACUCGGAAGUAUGGAAAGUGCAGAGUGGUCCGGAGCUUGGGAAACAGCUUAUAUGAACUGGAAACGCUGCAGGGGGCACGGAUAG